GACUGGAUAGCUCAGUUGGUAGAGUGCUGGAUUUAUAAUCCAGAGGUCCUGGGUUCAAGUCCCAGUUCAGUCA